AGCUCCAAUAGCGUAUAUUAAUGUUGUUGCAGUUAAAAAGCUCGUAGUCGGAUUUCAAUGCGGGUUGACCGGUCUGCCGAUUGGUAUGCACUGGCCGAGCCGUAUUUCCUCCCGGAGACCUCGUCUACUCUUAACUGAGGCGGACGGGGGAAACGGGAUUUUUACUUUGAGGAAAUCAGAGUGUUCAAAGCAGGCUUUUGUAUGUAUGUGUUAGCAUGGGAUAAUAAAAUAGGACUUGGGUGCUAUUUUGUUGGUUUCGAACACCUAAGUAAUGAUUAAUAGGGAUAGUCAGGGGCACUCGUAUUCCACCGAGAGAGGUGAAAUUCUUAGACCAGUGGAAGACGAACUUCUGCGAAAGCAUUUGCCAGGGAUGUUUUCACUG
rnacentral:rRNA from 1 species